rnacentral:rRNA from 1 species
GACGAACGCUGGCGGCGUGCUUAACACAUGCAAGUCGAACGGAAAGGCCCUGCUUUUGUGGGGUGCUCGAGUGGCGAACGGGUGAGUAACACGUGAGUAACCUGCCCUUGACUUUGGGAUAACUUCAGGAAACUGGGGCUAAUAUCGGAUAGGAUCUCCUGCACCAUGGUGGGGGUUGGAAAGUUUCGGCGGUUGGGGAUGGACUCGCGGCUUAUCAGCUGGUUGGUGGGGUAGUGGCUUACCAAGGCUUUGACGGGUAGCCGGCCUGAGAGGGUGGCCGGCCACAUUGGGACUGAGAUACGGCCCAGAGUCCUACGGGAGGCAACGGUGGGGAAUAUUGCACAGUGGGCGGAAGUCUGAUGCAGCGACGCCGCGUGCGGGAUGACGGCCUUCGGGUUAAAAACCGCUGUCGCCUGUGACGAAGCGUGAGUGACGGUAAUGGAUAAAGAAGCACCGGCUAACUACGUG